ACACACAACGUCUGAACGUGGAUAAAGGAUUCUCCAAAAUCUUAAGUGUAAACUCAGAAGUCCUUGCUUUGAAUCCAGAUGUGAGCUACACUUGUAAUAUGCUGUUAAUUUAUAUUGGUGAUGUGUAAUUAUUAUAUUUGUUCAUUACCUGCAGGACCAUGAACCAGGUCUCUACCUGUGUUGAGCGGGGUUUGCAGUGGCUGAUGCCCUUGUAUGGUAAAUGACCAGCACAGUGUUGCUUUAUCAUUUCCGACUCAUUAAUGUGACCUUGCAAAUUGCUAAAUAUGACUACCUUGAUCACUGUUGACCCCUUAAAGCUUUGCCCACUGGAGGUUCACUGUAUCUCUAGUGUCCAUUGAAGGGGGGUAGAGCGAACCUCUCAAAAACCUGGGGCAGGGGCCACACCUCUGCCUCUGGACCUGUCGGGAGUAACAAAUCAUCUAAAAAGGGCUUGAAGCCUCCUGUCCAUUAAUCCUGUUUUUUAACGUGUUUUGAAUUCCUUUCUUAGGGACCACUGUAAAUUGUGGAAAAUGAAGACCUAUAGGGUGAGGUUUGCUUCUUUCUGGCUAAUGUUCAUCCCCUUUUUUUUGCCCAUUUACGACCCGAAGUGUCCUAAAUGUUGAACGCAGGGGGGUAGAUAAAUUCUCUCAUAAACCUAAAGUAAAGGCAAUUUCCUUGCUUUGGAUCCUGUCGGGAGAAACACUGAUAUUUUGUGCACUUGUUCCAUGUGAAGUGCAUGUGAUGUGCUGUUAAGUAUGUAUUUGUACAUUACCUGCAGGUCCGUGAACCAGGCAGGCCUCCGCUUGUGCUUCAGAUGGGUUUGUGAUGCCCUUAAGGUCCGUGAACCAGGCAGGCCUCUGCUUGUUUCAGAUGGGUUUGUGAUGCCCUUAAGGUCUUAA
ensembl:lncRNA